GAAGAAAAAAGUUAAUGGUGAAACUUUAACACUUCGACAAGUCAAGAAAAAGAAAACAAAACGCCAAGGUUCUGAGGCUAGUUCACCAAAGAAAUCAAGGAAGGAACAUGUUGUCAAUAUUGAUGACAGAGAAGGUUAAUAAGAAGAGAGCCCUUAGCUAACUCGGAAAAGGACGAAGCGACCAAAACAAGCUCUUCUUGACGAAAGUUCGGAGAAUGCAAAUUCAAUCCCUAACUUUCAAACAAUCGAGGAACAACCUAUUUAUGUUGUGUUUCCAUCGCCAUAACUGACUAUUGGCAAUCUAGUCAAGGAAACAAUUGUUGAACAACCAUGGGACGUGGCUGAAAAUCAAAAUCUUUCAUAAUAGUCCACACCAGAGAACCAAAAUUCUAAACACCAUACACCUCUAGGAACCCUAGAUCAUGAACAACAACCAGCUGGUUCAGAGGCUCAUAACUCUAAACCUUAAUUAGAUAGCCUAUGCAACACUGUUCUAACACCAGAAAGUCCUAAGCAUGAUAAGAAACUACAAGAGGACCAAAAUGUCGCUCGAACAUAAGAGGAUGCAAAUGUUGAUCUAAUCUAAAGAGACCAAGUCCCAAAAGAACCUCAAUCUACUAUUGUCGAAGGAGGAGAACCACAAAUGGUUCAUACUUCUACAAUUUUGCCAGUAGCCAAUGAGCAUCCUUUCUCGACUACAAUGACUAUUGUUCAGCCUCUAAAUCAGGAUUCUUCAUCUAACAUUCUGACACUCCUCUCAAUUGAGAGGAAUUAAAGGUUAUUAAAGAGAAAAGCCCAGUAGAGGCUUUGAAGAAGUUCAUGAGUAGUCAAGUUAUUUAUGUCGACAAAUCGCCAAGCUCUUCAACUACUUCAGGCCAUGAUCUUUCUAGUGACUCUUCUUCUAUCUUGGUUCAACAACUUAGAUCAAAUGUCUUUGAUGUGGGCCUAUUCCAGUCCAUUGAAUACAAUCAUGUUGCUGAAUAUGAUAUCAAGACUUUGUUGAAACAAGUUUCUUAUGAAAACUGCUUAGAACAUAAAAUUAAAGAAAGAGUAUGCUAACAGACUCAAACAACAGACUGACGUCAUGUCCUAACAAUGGACCUUAAUACUCAAUCUUAGAGUCGAAUUAGUUAGCUAGAGGCACAGGCUAAAAUGGAUAAGGAUCGGGUGGCACUUUUCAAUGCAAACAUAUCAAGUUAGACGAAAUAGGUAGAAGGGUUGCAACUAAAGAUUGAAGAAGAGAGAUGAAAGAAAACUGAAAUAGAAACCUCAAGAUUGGUGUCUAUUGAUGAAAAAACUGGUUCAUGAAGCCAACGUUAUUCUUCGACAUGUUGAUGUUGGUUUUAUGCUAGAUGAGGAAGUGCAAAUAUUGAAGCUUGAAGAUGCCAUAGACGAUACCAAACUCAGACUACCAAAGCAAAGUCUUGAAAGAAUUAAGGUUGCUUUUCCUCUUUAAGUUUUCAAUUCUUGUUUUGUUUCUGUAUGAAUGUGUGAAUGACAAUUUGUCAUUUGUCAUUUUUCAAUCAUAAGUCAAUUUUGACAUUUUUAUUGCCUAA